GACAGAGGGUGCAAACGUUGUUCGGAAUUACUGGGCGUAAAGCGCGUGUAGGCGGCUUGGAAAGUCGGGUGUGAAAGCCCUGGGCUCAACCUAGGAAGUGCACUCGAAACUGCCGAGCUUGAGUUCUGGAGAGGAAGGCGGAAUUCUCGGUGUAGAGGUGAAAUUCGUAGAUAUCGAGAGGAACACCGGUGGCGAAGGCGGCCUUCUGGACAGCAACUGACGCUGAGACGCGAAAGCGUGGGAGCAAACAGG
rnacentral:rRNA from 1 species